CACGUAGGGGGCGAGCGUUGUCCGGAUUUAUUGGGCGUAAAGAGCUCGUAGGCGGUUCGAUAAGUCGGGUGUGAAAACUCUGGGCUCAACUCAGAGACGCCACCCGAUACUGUUGUGACUUGAGUCCGGUAGGGGAGUAUGGAAUUCCCGGUGUAGCGGUGAAAUGCGCAGAUAUCGGGAGGAACACCAGUGGCGAAGGCGGUACUCCGGGCCGGAACUGACGCUGAGACGCGAAAGCGUGGGGAGCGAACAGG
rnacentral:rRNA from 1 species